CCUACGGGUGGCAGCAGUGAGGAAUAUUGGUCAAUGGGCGCGAGCCUGAACCAGCCAAGUAGCGUGAAGGAUGACUGCCCUACGGGUUGUAAACUUCUUUUAUAAAGGAAUAAAGUGAGGCACGUGUGCCUUUUUGUAUGUACUUUAUGAAUAAGGAUCGGCUAACUCCGUGCCAGCAGCCGCGGUAAUACGGAGGAUCCGAGCGUUAUCCGGAUUUAUUGGGUUUAAAGGGUGCGUAGGCGGCCUGUUGAGUCAGUGGUGAAAUGGUGUGGCUCAACCAUAAAAUUGCCGUUGAAACUGGGAGGCUUGAGUAUGUAUGAGGCAGGUGGAAGGCGUGGUGUAGCGGUGAAAUGCGUAGAUAUCACGCAGAACCCCGAUGGCGAAGGCAGCCUUCCAGGCCAUGACUGACGCUGAUGCACGAAAGCGUGGGGAUCAAACAGGAUUAGAUACCCGAGUAGUC
rnacentral:rRNA from 1 species